AAAGAAGUCGUGGGACAGGAAGCUUGCGAGGCAGGAGACCAGUGUCCAUGGAUGCCAGAACAGGCGAAAAGCUAACGAGAAGGAGAGGCAAGCAGCCCUCCAAGUGGCUGAUGGCUUCAUCUCUCGCAUGAGAUACUCCCCAAGCACUCAGGUGGAGAUUCUGCCCCAGGGCCGAGAGAGUCCCAUCUUCAAGCAAUUCUUCAAGGACUGGAAGUGAGGGUGGGUGUGCCCAGCCCUGCUCUCCUGCCUGCCACUACCUGCCUGCUUGUUCCUGCCCCUGGCUGCUGAGUCAGCACCAAGGUGCCCUCUGGAUGCUCAAUAAAGGAGACACAUUCCGUUCCCAGCUC